UAGAAUGUGGUGUAAAGGAAACACGGAGAAAUUUGAGUUCCCUGAUAUAGGUUCGAAUCCUGUUGUUCUAG
rnacentral:tRNA from 1 species